rnacentral:rRNA from 1 species
UAGCCGUAAACGAUACUCGCUAGGUGUCGGCCACGGUGCGACCGUUGUCGGUGCCGUAGGGAAGCCGUGAAGCGAGCCACCUGGGAAGUACGGCCGCAAGGCUGAAACUUAAAGGAAUUGGCGGGGGGAGCACCACAAGAGGUGGAGGCUGCGGUUCAAUUGGACUCAACGCCGGAAAACUCAUCGGGAGCGACAGCAGUAUGAUUGCCAGGUUGAUGACCUUGCUUGACAAGCUGAGAGGAGGUGCAUGGCGUAGUCGUGU